GACGAACGCUGGCGGCGUGCCUAAUACAUGCAAGUUGAGCGCUGAAGGUUGGUACUUGUACCGACUGGAUGAGCAGCGAACGGGUGAGUAACGCGUGGGGAAUCUGCCUUUGAGCGGGGGACAACAUUUGGAAACGAAUGCUAAUACCGCAUAAAAACUUUAAACACAAGUUUUAAGUUUGAAAGAUGCAAUUGCAUCACUCAAAGAUGAUCCCGCGUUGUAUUAGCUAGUUGGUGAGGUAAAGGCUCACCAAGGCGAUGAUACAUAGCCGACCUGAGAGGGUGAUCGGCCACAUUGGGACUGAGACACGGCCCAAACUCCUACGUGAGGCAGCAGUAGGGAAUCUUCGGCAAUGGACGAAAGUCUGACCGAGCAACGCCGCGUGAGUGAAGAAGGUUUUCGGAUCGUAAAACUCUGUUGGUAGAGAAGAACGUUGGUGAGAGUGGAAAGCUCAUCAAGUGACGGUAACUACCCAGAAAGGGACGGCUAACUACGUG
rnacentral:rRNA from 1 species